ensembl:ncRNA T12B5.16 ncRNA
CUAAGCCUAAGUCUAAGCCUAAGCCUAAGCCCGAAUUUAAGCCUAAGCAUAAGCCUAAUCCUGAGCCUAAGCCUAAGGCUAAGCCU